rnacentral:rRNA from 1 species
GGGUUGUGAGGUUAAGCGACUAAGCGUACACGGUGGAUGCCCUGGCAGUCAGAGGCGAUGAAGGACGUGCUAAUCUGCGAAAAGCGUCGGUAAGGUGAUAUGAACCGUUACAGCCGGCGAUGUCCGAAUGGGGAAACCCAGUGUGAUUCGUCACACUAUCGUUAACUGAAUACAUAGGUUAACGAGGCGAACCGGGGGAACUGAAACAUCUAAGUACCCCGAGGAAAAGAAAUCAACCGAGAUUCCCCCAGUAGCGGCGAGCGAAC